UAAAGUUCCUCAUGGCACGCAAGUUUGAUGUCUCCCGAGCAAUACACCUCUUCCAGGCAUACAAGAACACGAGGAUUAAGGAAGGAAUCUUCAACAUCAACCCAGAGGAGGAACCUCUUCGCUCUGAACUGCUCAGCGGAAAGUUCACUGUCCUGCCUGGUCGUGAUGCUA